rnacentral:rRNA from 1 species
UUAGCCGAGGGGGGGCAGCAGUGGGGAAUAUUGGGCAAUGGGCGCAAGCCUGACCCAGCAACGCCGCGUGGAGGAAGAAGGCUUUCGGGCUGUAAACUUCUUUUCUCAGGGACGAAUAGAUGACGGUACCUGAGGAAUAAGCCACGGCUAACUACGUGCCAGCAGCCGCGGUAAUACGUAGGUGGCAAGCGUUAUCCGGAUUUACUGGGUGUAAAGGGCGUGUAGGCGGGGACGCAAGUCAGAUGUGAAAACCACGGGCUCAACCUGUGGCCUGCAUU